CUUAAUUCCAAACAGGCAUCUCCCACGGGCAGUGGGCACACCCAGACACAACCAAAGAGGAGGCACUGGGGUGCAGGGAAAGAGUAGAACUCUCACCGGGGGUGACUUAAGCUCUCGUUCUUUAUCGUUCCUGUCACAGGCAAAGCCUUUCCGUUCAUGGAGACCAUGGUUCACGUGCAUUUUCAUAUUUGCUGCUGGGCACUUCUGACUCACUUCUCCAGUCUUACUCAGCUUGUUUCCUCAAAAUGUUUCAGGUUUUGGUGUCCAGCCGUGAAGACUGAAAGCCUCACACCUUUUGCUUGAAGUGUGAGGGAUGCAACAUUUUCAUCUCUGGGGAGAUGAGGACACGCUUGCGGGCAACAUUGUUUUCCUUCUCCGUGCUUGUUGCAAAGUCAUGAGGAAGGACUUUAGUGGAGAUGAGCUGUCACUCGCUAUUAAAAGUUCAAAGUCAAAUUUGCAGUCCACUUCUGGCAAGGAAGACAGAGCUGCGUGGCCUCUAACAUUUUGUGGGCCAUUGCAAAGCUCACAUUCUCCGUGCCUGUGGAGCUUCAUGAUGCAAACAGCCAUGAUCAGACCUGUCCGGAUGGUCCAGGCUCGCCAAAUUCUAGUCCAGCACCCCUUGGAGACACAGGUGUCCUCCCCACAUCUAGAGACUUUUGAAACUAAGACAGCAAACCGGGGAAUUGAAGACAUCAGCUCUGAAGUCACGCUGCUUGGGCUCAAGGGCUAGAUCUGUUCAUAAUCAUGGGUGCACCUGGGCAGAUUUCUUAAUGUGCCUGAGCCUCAGUUUCCUCACGUGUAAAACGGGGUGGUAGUAGUUCCUCCUUCACCAGACUGUGGUAAAGUUUCCUGCUAAAUGCCCAGCAUGUGAUAAGGACUCCACAAAUGCUUCGUUGUUAUUCUUUGAAAGAAUUGUUAAAACAGGAUCCCAAAAUUGUGGUAUAUUUUCAUGUUUACAUUACCAAAUUCUAAUUCAAAACACAAUGGCAUAUAACUGCUAUUCACAGGUAAUUACAAGAGUGUGUUUGUUUGUUUGUUUGUUUUUUAAUUAAUUCAUAGCACCCAAGAGGUAUUAUGGUCCAAUCAUAGGACUUGAGGUUAGAGUUGAAUGAGAAACAUUUGUAUCUAUGACUAUAUAUAAGACCUCUUUGCAAACAAUGUCAAAAUUAUGAAUUUGAGAUCCUUUGUGAAUGUGUGUCCCCAUGCCAAAUACUUUCCCUGUCCUUUGCUAACCCCCAUUCCCUCCCACGUUCAUAUCUUCAGAUGACCAGAGCGAAUAACUUCCAGUGGGAAGCUGGAAUAAACUCCACUUCCUGUGUCUCUGAUUUCA
rnacentral:lncRNA from 1 species